ACUAAAUAGAUACCCCGGUAGUCCACGCCCUAAACGAUGUCUACUAGUUGUCGGGUCUUAAUUGACUUGGUAAACGCAGCUAAACGCGUGAAAGUAGACCGCCUGGGGAGUACGGUCGCAAGAUUAAAACUCAAAGGAAUUGACGGGGACCCGCACAAGCGGUGGAUGAUGUGGAUUAAUUCGAUGCAACGCGAAAAACCUUACCUACCCUUGACAUGGAAGGAAUCCCUGAGAGAUCGGGGAGUGCUCGAAAGAGAACCUUUACACAGGUGCUGCAUGGCUGUCGUCAGCUCGUGUCGUGAGAUGUUGGGUUAAGUCCCGCAACGAGCGCAACCCUUGUCAUUAGUUGCUACGAAAGGGCACUCUAAUGAGACUGCCGGUGACAAACCGGAGGAAGGUGGGGAUGACGUCAAGUCCUCAUGGCCCUUAUGGGUAGGGCUUCACACGUCAUACAAUGGUACAUACAGAGGGCCGCCAACCCGCGAGGGGGAGCUAAUCCCAGAAAGUGUAUCGUAGUCCGGAUUGUAGUCUGCAACUCGACUGC
rnacentral:rRNA from 1 species